rnacentral:siRNA from 1 species
CUACCUUUUAGAGCGUGCUG